CGAGACCUCAGGUCAGGCGGGGCUACCCGCUGAAUUUAAGCAUAUCAAUAAGCGGAGGAAAAGAAACUAACAAGGAUUCCCUUAGUAACGG
rnacentral:rRNA from 84 species